GGUUAUUGCUGAAGCUCAGUGCCUGCACUAGGAAUCCAUUACUCCUGACGGCCAUUUCCCCCCCCCCCAUUUUAUUGGAUAGGACAGAAAGAAAUUGAGAGAGAAGGGGGAGAGAUAAAGAGGAGACAAAAAAAGACACUUGCAGCCCUGCUUCACUACUUGCGAAGCUUUACCCCUACAGGUGGGAAGCCUAGGGCUCGAACCCAGAUCCUUACACUUAAUACUAUGUGUGCUUAACUGGGUGCGCCACCGCCUGGCUCCACCACUCUUUCAUUGUUAAGUAAUAUAUAUAAUAUAUUUGAGGGAGAGAGUGAGAAAGAAAAAGAAGAAAGAAACCCCUUUACUUUCCUGUUUCGAUCACAAGGAGCACCAGAAAGCCCAGAGCCAGGACACCCCAGCGCUGCUGUUCCAGUCCUCAGCUGGGAGCAGACUGAACAAGCACCGAGCAGUACCCUAGAGCCUUUCAGUGAGCGCCAGGAGCCUAUCUCCUCAAGAUGCCUGCGCCCGGGCACCUGCCAGCUGCCUCUCUGGCUUUACUGUGCCCUUCGGCCCAUAAACCCUAAAAUAGCCCUCUGCCGGACUGAUGCCCAGCUCUUCCAGAAGGGAGCCUGGAGCGGAGGGGCCGGGCAUCCUGAGGGCGAACGCUGCCUGCUGUAUCGCUCGCUCGCUCGGGGUGAGGAGGUCCUGGGAGCCUCGGUGCGCCCAAACCUCUUCUCGACAACCCCCUCCCCAAGUCAAAUGGAGGAAAGGGCGUGUGGCGGUGCUGGCACGGAGGCCACCAGGUUCCAGAUGCUAGCAUGAUGCCAACCAGACUUCCCUGGACAGACAACCCCACCAGUGUGUCCUGGAGCUCCAAUUCCCCAGAACUCCACCCCACUAAGGAAAGAGAGAGACAGGCUGGGAGUAUGGAUCGACCUGUCAAUGCCUAUGUUCACUGGGCUCUCCCUGAAGGCUUCCUAGUGGCUCCUAACUCCCAACCAAGUGACAUCACUCACUAAGCCAGAGGAUGAGUGUCAUGGAGCUUUACCUCACCCAGCUCAGCUUUGUGGCCCAGGAGAUCAAACAUGUCACCUGCACAGUCAAGACAGAGGGGAAGCAGCAUCAGAGCCUUGGAAGAGUCCCUAGGGCGGCUGCCCAGGACCCUGAGUCUCAGAACCCCAGGAGUGGAAGUCCUGCCACCCCUACCAGCCUUCUUCCUGGGGCAGCUCUGGGGUCCUUAAGGCCUCAGGCUCUAUGGCCCUGACUCUGGCUCCCAGAAAGCACGAAAGGUCAACCAAGCUGCUGACUCCAGAAGAACCCAGGAAACAACCUCAACUAACAAAGCCACAGAGUGGUCAGUCCAUACCCUACCCUGUGCCAGUCACUGGCACAAGGACUAUCCAGGCUUUCCAGAAAAGGCUGCUGUGGUGUGCCAGUACCACCAGCCAGCAAAGGGCCAGAACUGGAACCCUCUUCAGAACCAGUGGAGGUGCCAUGAGAAGCUGAGUCCAAGCAAAAAGUGAACUGAUGGGAAGGGUUUUCAGAGCCCUAUUCCACUCUGCCCCAAUAGCACCCCUCCAAGCAGCAUGGGAUCCAUUAGGAAACAGAUUUUUUUUUUUGGAGAGCUAUGACUGGUUUUAAGAGAACUUAGAUGCAAAGCACUGACAUCACAGCAAAAACCAAAGAUGAAAAGAAUAAGUGACCCAGGAGGUGGUUGAGUGUAUAAAGCGCUGGACACUCAAGCAUGAGGUCCUAUGUUCCAGCUCUUUCUAAUAAACAAAGUAAAUAAAUCUUCAUAAAAUAUAAUAGUUCUGAAAAACUUUCCUGCCUGAAGGUUUCAGGUUCAAUCUCCAGC